rnacentral:misc_RNA from 1 species
GCAAACUUGGUCAUUUAGAGGAAGUAAAAGUCGUAACAAGGUUUCCGUAGGUGAACCUGCGGAAGGAUCAUUAACGUAAACCCGGUCCCACUGAUGCCGGAGGCGAAGACGCGGACCCACGCCCCGCCCGCACCCGCGGGAGUGAGGGGAGUGGCAAAGCAGAACGCUACACCCCAUGUGAAAACCCCCAGUUGCUUCGGCAGCGCGUCCCCGUGUCCCCCCCGUCCGCGGGAGGGGCCGCGGGAGCGGUCAGCCUGCCGGCGGCACGAAAGGAAACCCUUGAAAAUCCGAAAGGAAGCAAACAUGUCCGUCUGAAGCGCAAAGUCCAAUGACUAUAAAACUUUCAACAACGGAUCUCUUGGUUCCCGCAUCGAUGAAGAACGCAGC